CGCUAUCACUCCGUACGGGAGGCGAGCGAGUGGGGAAUAUUGCACAAGUAGGGGGAAACCCUGAUGCAGCCAUGCCGCGUGUGUGAAGAAGGUCCGUUCGGGUUGUAAAGCACUUUCAGUAGGGAGGAAGGUAGUGUAGUUAACACCUGCAUUAUUUGACGUUACCUACAGAAGAAGCACCGGCUAACUCCGUGCCAGCAGCCGCGGUAAUACGGAGGGUGCGAGCGUUAAUCGGAAUUACUGGGCGUAAAGCGCAUGCAGGCGGCCUGUUAAGUCAGAUGUGAAAGCCCGGGGCUUAACCUCGGAAUUGCAUUUGAAACUGGCAGGCUAGAGUCUUGUAGAGGGGGUAGAAUUUCAGGUGUAGCGGUGAAAUGCGUAGAGAUCUGAAGGAAUACCAGUGGCGAAGGCGGCCCCCUGGACAAAGACUGACGCUCAGAUGCGAAAGCGUGGGGAGCAAACAGGAUUAGAUACCCUGGUAG
rnacentral:rRNA from 1 species